GUAGUAAAUUAAAGUCUCAAUCGUUUAACGUUUCGUAUUUUCCCGCAGCCAUAAAUAUUUGAAGAGAUUUUGCGAAUCGUCUUAUUUAGUCUCCGUAUUUUGGGGUCUUUUAUUUGAUCUUGCAGACGUGUGUUUUAACAAACAGAACACUGCGGCUGCAGAUGACCAGCGAUCAUCAUCCCGCCUGCACAAGGGAGUGACACACAAACACAAUGGGAGGACACAGGAAGCAUUGAUAACACCGCUAUAAAUCCAUGCUUUUGUUAAAGCGUCACUAAUGCGGAGCUUCAGUUUAAAAUGCAUGCCAGUGGUGCGGUGAAAAUCGAUUUAAUGCAAUUCAUGUAUCUGAAUCUCCAAUCGGCAGGGCAUUAGUAGCGUAUUUGGAUCUGUUCUUACAAUGGAUUUCCCUUUCGACUUGAAUGCGCUUUUUCCCGAGAGAGUGUCAGUGCUGGAUAAUAACUUGACUGCUGGUCAGAAAGCGCCUGGGAGACCGGAUCCUCAGAUUCAGAUAGCCACAGUCAUAGAUGAGCUGGGUAAAGCCUCUGCUAAGGCACAACAGCUGCCUGCACCCAUAACCAGUGCUGCAAAACUCCAGGCCAACAGACACCAUCUCUACCUCCUCAAAGACGGCGAACAGAAUGGCGGGAAGGCUGUUAUAGUUGGAUUUCUGAAGGUUGGAUGCAAGAAACUCUUUUUACUUGACCAGCAGGGGGCGCACGUGGAGACCGAACCUCUGUGUGUGCUGGAUUUCUAUAUCAUAGAGACUCUGCAGAGACAUGGCUAUGGCCUUGAGCUCUUUGACUUUAUGCUGAAACACAAGCGGGUGGAGCCCGGGCAGAUGGCGUAUGAUAGACCUUCUCCUAAGUUUCUGUCCUUUCUAGAUAAGCACUAUGAUCUGAAAAACAGUGUGCCUCAGGUGAAUAACUUUGUGGUGUUUAGUGGCUUCUUCAAAAGUAGAUCAGGAACGCCUCCUUCCCCUCCGACGGAUCAGGGGAUGUACGGAUUUUUCGGCCCAAUUGAGAAAAGUUCUCCCCAAAAAGCCAGAGGGAGAGAUCAAACCGUACUCACUAAUGGAAAGAGAUGUGGUCCGGGAGGAGCAGAGGUCUCUCCCCUCGCCGUUCGUACGGCCAGCGGCUCCCCCCCACUCUCCUCCUCUGCUUCUGUCAUCCCUACAGUCUCGUUCCCUCAGUGUGGGAUCCUCCCCCAGCCGCGGCCCUCUCCGUCCCACCGCGCUGCCGGGGCUUCAGCCACGUCCGAACCUCUCCUCCCAGCUCAACGACAACUGCAGGGCAAAGCGCACCAGCUCUUUAAAUAGAUCUAGGCUUAGCUUUCAUUGACCCUUAUUCUUCAACGUCAUUGACCUAAACAUGACUGUGGUUUUUAACUGGUUAGAUAGCCCCUGUUAGAUUUUGCUUUGUGAGUGUCUGAACGCCGCCAUUUUCUUGUUUGAUAAAACAAUUGUGACUUUUUUACUUUCUGUAUCUUAUAGACCCUGGUACCUAGUACAGAAAACUGAGAUUUUACAGUUCAGUUUAAUAUCGGCUUAAACCCCACAUGUGGAAUAUUCUCUGUCCUGACAAUUUGAGCAGCAAGAAAUAAAAGCAGUUGGAAAAAAUGAGUGUCGUUCCUAUUUAAUCAUUAAAGGAUUGGCUCAUUGCUGUCAUUGUUUAUUUGCCCACUUUCCGUGAAACACAAAAUGAGAACGUUAAUCAUUCUUUAGUGUUCCACGGAAGACAGAACGUCACGUCAAUGGAUAACAUAUUUGAUUAUUUGUCAUCAUGUGACCCGUGUAUCAAUGGAAUGGAUGAACAUGAAGGAUAUGAAAUCCUGCGUUCAAGCGCUUGAAUCUUGAUUUAAUUUCAAAUUUAAAGGGGUCAUAUGACGCGGCUAAAACGAAUAUUAUCGUUUGUUUUAGAUGUAAGGCAAUGUGUAUACACGAUUUAAGGUUUAAAAACGCUGUAUUUUCCACAUACCGUGCAUGUAUGUAUCUCCUCUUUGCCCCGCCUCUAUGAAACGUGCAGAUUUUUUACAAAGCUCAUGGCUCUGAAAAGCGAGGUGUGCUAUGAUUGGCCAGUUCACCAGUGCGUAGUGAUUGGUGGAAUACUGCAAGCGUGUGACGGAAAUGUAACGCCUCUUACCAUAUUUGGAACAUCAGGUUCCUCUUCAAUUGUGCUGACAGAUACGCCCACCUUACUUGCGUAUACAUUUGGGCGGUCUAAGUCAAAUCAUACCACGAACUAGUGUGUCCCAAUACCAAACUUCAGUACCAGUCGGUACUAAAUAUUACGAUACUAAGAAUUUCCCGCUAUCAUUUUGAGCGCUGUUGAACAGAUUAUGAAAGACCCGCCAUUGUGUUUCCAAGGUCAUCGGAUAUGUCUUUGAAUGGCUCCUUACCGAGCGCUUGCACAACCAAACCCAGAAGCGCGUGAAAUGAUCAUUGCAUCACACUCUCCACCGAGCGCUUACACAGAUCCACACGGAAGCGUUUGAUUUUGACUUUGAUAGACUUUCAAACGCUUCCGUGUGUAUCUGUGUAAGCAAACCUGUAUGACUUUCUUUCUUCCGCAGAACACAAACGAAGAUAUUUUGAAGAAAGGUUGGUAACCGAACAACAGCCGCACCCAUUUACUUCUAUUAUACGGACACAAAACCAACACAAGUCAAUGAGUAUCGCCACUGUUCGGUUACCAACAUUCUUCAAAAUAUCUUCUUUUGUGUUCUGCGGAAGAAAGAAAGUCAUACAAGUUUGAAAUGACAAGAGGGCGAGUAAAUGAUGACAGAAUUUUUAUUUUUGGGUGAACUAUCCCAUUAGGACACAUUGGGAUCACUCAACUUUGGUCUCGAAAACCUGUUGUUUUUAUAUACACUCCACAAUCCACAUGAAUCUUUUUAAUCUGUCCUCGGAUGAAAAAAUCACACUUCAACACACAAUCAUUACUCUUUUUUUUCACAGAAACUUAUUUUCAUGCAAUAUUGAGUUUAAAUUUUUAAGUUUGCACUUCUUUUUAAUUACGUUUCUGUUUGUUCCCUUUUUUCUUUCUUUUUCUGGUACCUCAUUCACCCCCUUCGUUUUUCCGUUCUAUGUUUUACCGCCUACCCUCUUCUCCUCCGUUUCACCACUCUCUUCCAUCGCUGUUUGUCUACUUUCCUCAUAUCCCGUAUAGUCAUCAGGGUCUGGUUGCCAGGAGCAACCUCUACAGUCGCCAUGUCAACAGCAGGGACCUCGGGCAAUUAUCCGGCGAACAGCACAGCGCCUUGAAACUUCCAGACCGCAUCCUCAAGGGCAA